rnacentral:rRNA from 1 species
AACUUUGGACAAUGGGGGAAACCCUGAUCCAGCCAUCCCGCGUGUAUGAUGAAGGCCUUCGGGUUGUAAAGUACUUUUGGCAGAGAAGAAAAGGUAUCCCCUAAUACGAGAUACUGCUGACGGUACCUGCAGAAUAAGCACCGGCUAACUACGUGCCAGCAGCAGCGGUAAUACGGAGGGUGCAAGCGUUAAUCGGAAUUACUGGGCGUAAAACGUGUGUAGGGGGUUCGAAAAGAAAGAUGUGGAAUCCCAGGGCUCAACCUUGGAGCAGCAUUUUUAACUGCCGAGCUAGAGUAUGUCAGAGGGGGGUAGAAUUCCACGUGUAGCAGUGAAAUGCGUAGAUAUGUGGAGGAAGACCGAUGGCGAAGGCGGCCCCCUGGGAUAAUACUGACGCUCAGACGCGAAAGCGUGGGGAGCAAACA